rnacentral:rRNA from 1 species
CAGCCAUGCCGCGUGUAUGAAGAAGGCCUUCGGGUUGUAAAGUACUUUCAGCAGUGAGGAAGGUGGGUAUGUUAAUAGCAUAUUCAUUUGACGUUAGCUGCAGAAGAAGCACCGGCUAACUCCGUGCCAGCAGCCGCGGUAAUACGGAGGGUGCGAGCGUUAAUCGGAAUUACUGGGCGUAAAGCGCAUGCAGGUGGUUUGUUAAGUCAGAUGUGAAAGCCCGGGGCUCAACCUCGGAAUUGCAUUUGAAAACUGGCAAACUAGAGUACUGUAGAGGGGGUAGGAAUUUCAGGUGUAGCGGUGAAAUGCGUAGAGAUCUGAAGGAAUACCGGUGGCGAAGGCGGCCCCCUGGACAGAUACUGACACUCAGAUGCGAAAGCGUGGGGAGCAAACAGGAUUAGAUACCCUGGUAG